UACAGAGGGGGCAAGCGUUGUUCGGAAUUACUGGGCGUAAAGGGCGCGUAGGCGGCCUUCUAAGUCGAACGUGAAAUCCCCGGGCUCAACCCGGGAACUGCGUCCGAUACUGGAAGGCUUGAAUCCGGGAGAGGGAUGCGGAAUUCCAGGUGUAGCGGUGAAAUGCGUAGAUAUCGGGAGGAACACCUGUGGCGAAGGCGGCCCCCUGGUUGGAUACUGACGCUGAGACGCGAAAGCGUGGGGAGCAAACAGG
rnacentral:rRNA from 1 species